UAGGGAAUCUUCGGCAAUGGACGAAAGUCUGACCGAGCAACGCCGCGUGAGUGAAGAAGGUUUUCGGAUCGUAAAACUCUGUUGUUAGAGAAGAACAAGGACGUUAGUAACUGAACGUCCCCUGACGGUAUCUAACCAGAAAGCCACGGCUAACUACGUGCCAGCAGCCGCGGUAAUACGUAGGUGGCAAGCGUUGUCCGGAUUUAUUGGGCGUAAAGCGAGCGCAGGCGGUUUCUUAAGUCUGAUGUGAAAGCCCCCGGCUCAACCGGGGAGGGUCAUUGGAAACUGGGAGACUUGAGUGCAGGAGAGGAGAGUGGAAUUGCAUGUGUAGCGGUGAAAUGCGUAGAUAUAUGGAGGAACACCAGUGGCGAAGGCGGCUCUCUGGUCUGUAACUGACGCUGAGGCGCGAAAGCGUGGGGAGCAAACAGG
rnacentral:rRNA from 1 species